rnacentral:lncRNA from 1 species
GAUAAAUUUAUUUAUUUAUUUAUUUAUUUUAAUGAAAAGAAAAUUUAAAGAAAUAUAAAAGAAACAAAAAUCUGGCAAAAAAUACGGCUUUCAUAUCAUAUGUUAAACUUUAAUAAUAAUUAAGAUCGUAUCUUCUGCUAUGAUUUCGAUUUUCAUAUCCGGGUUGUAAACGGUCAUAAUAUCCGGGUUGCAAACGGCUAUUCUUGCUCGUGGUUCAUUCUCGUUCGCGAUCUGUAAAAGAGCGGAAUGUUUCGAGUUUAAUUUUCUUAUCCCCGGAGAUGAAGCCGUCACAGAAAAUAGGAUUAAAGUUAGACCGGAACUCCCGUAUAUUACAUAUUUAUAUAUAACUUGAUGUAAGGAUGCUAAAUCACGUUCGUCUAUUAAAGACGUGUCCAGAUACAUCUUAACCGUUAGAUCUAUCGUAUCUUUAUAGAUCAACUUCAAUAAACCGACUGUAUCUUUAUAGAUCGGCUUUAAUAAAUCACAUGGGCCACAUCCAAUACAUUGUCCUUAUUUAUACCCGUCUGCAUGUGGGCGGGUGGAUAUGCAGGUUACCUAUAAGGUACUCUUAUUUGAAUUGAGCCCUUAUGCUUUUAAAAAUACCAAGUUAUUGGUGCUUGUAGAUUUUUAGCCAUUGGAUUAAAAGAUAUGCGGUUAAGAUGAUAUGGGCCCCCUAGGGUUUAGUGGGUGGUUGGUUGAAUAGUAUAAUUUAAUGGUUGAAAAUGAUCCGAGGAGUAGAUCUAACGGUAAGAAAACUUAAAGUACUAAGUGCUUGGUGCUUUUACAAGCACCAUAGCUGGACUCCUCUUAUUUUAUCUUUCUUUAUGUUAUUAUACUUUUCAAAGGCAAAUACCAUAUAUAUUA